GCUGGAUGGUGUGCGUCCUUUAUGAAAGAGACAUGACUGGACCAAUGCAUGUACCGGUAUAUGCCAGACAGCAUAGGGCUUCUCUGUGAGCAUGCCUGGACUGGUCGUCUCGGAACUCGGGACAAAGGAGAGCCAGGGAGCAGGUGUGAUUGGAAACAGUGACCAAUGGGAGAGCUCUUGCUCUCCCUCCCUUCUUUGCUCUCACUCACUCACUCACUUCACAUAACCCCAAGAUGCGUCCUUAUCUCCUGCUGUCAAUCACUCGUGCCGCUGUGUAUUCUCACUGUGUGAUGUCUGCUGUGCAUGACCUCCAGCUCAUAAUUAGCUCAUCUGCUGUGUCCUUGUCAGGUGUACUGUGUGUGUGUGUGUGUGUGUGUGUGUGUGUGUGUGUGUG